CGGGGGUAGCAAUACCCGCCGGCGACCGGCGCACGGGUGAGUAACACGUAUCCAACCUGCCGAUAACUCGGGGAUAGCCUUUCGAAAGAAAGAUUAAUACCCGAUGGUAUAAUAAAACCGCAUGGUUUAAUUAUUAAAGAAUUUCGGUUAUCGAUGGGGAUGCGUUCCAUUAGGCAGUUGGUGAGGUAACGGCUCACCAAACCUUCGAUGGAUAGGGGUUCUGAGAGGAAGGUCCCCCACAUUGGAACUGAGACACGGUCCAA
rnacentral:rRNA from 1 species